rnacentral:rRNA from 1 species
CCACGAUGAAUAUACCGGUUCUCGUUAGAUCACCGAAGUCAAGCAUCAUUGGGCGCGGUCAGUACUUGGGUGGGUGACCACCUGGGAACACUGUGUGCCGUU